UAAUGUAUGGGGAUCUGCCCGAUAGAGGGGAAUAACUACUGGAAACGGUGACUAAUACCGCAUAAUGUCUACGGACCAAAGCAGGGGCUCUUCGGACCUUGCACUAUCGGAUGAACCCAUAUGGGAUUAGCUAGUAGGUGGGGUAAAGGCUCACCUAGGCGACGAUCUCUAGCUGGUCUGAGAGGAUGAUCAGCCACACUGGGACUGAGACACGGCCCAG
rnacentral:rRNA from 1 species